rnacentral:rRNA from 1 species
GACGAACGCUGGCGGCGCGCUUAACACAUGCAAGUCGUGCGGUGUCGAAGGCAAGUCUUACGACAAGCCUUCGACACAGCGGCGAACGGGUGAGUAACACGUGAGUAGCUGUCCUAAGGAGGGGGAUAACGCCUGGAAACGGGUGCUAACACCCCAUAUGCCUCGCAAGAGGUGAAAGUGUACUUGCUACAGCCUUAGGGUGUGCUCGCGGCCUAUCAGCUAGUUGGUGAGGUAACGGCUCACCAAGGCCAAGACGGGUAGCCGGCCUGAGAGGGUGUACGGCCACACUGGAAUUGAGAUACGGUCCAGACUCCUACGGGAGGCAGCAGUGGGGAAUCUUGGGCAAUGGGCGAAAGCCUGACCCAGCGACGCCGCGUUGGGGAUGAAGCCCUUCGGGGCGUAAACCCAUGUUGUAGGGGAAGAAGAAAGUGACGGUACCCUACGAGAAAGCCCCGGCCAACUACGUG